rfam:Cricetulus griseus cell line CHO-K1, whole genome shotgun sequence.
GUCUGGCUAGCUCAGUUGGUAUAGCAUGAGACUCUUAAUCUCAGGGUCCUGAGUUCGGGCCUCAGGUUGGGCA